rnacentral:rRNA from 1 species
UUCGGGGUACACGAGCGGCGAACGGGUGAGUAACACGUGGGUGAUCUGCCCUGCACUUCGGGAUAAGCCUGGGAAACUGGGUCUAAUACCGGAUAUGACCUCCUGUCGCAUGAUGGGUGGUGGAAAGAUUUAUCGGUGCAGGAUGGGCCCGCGGCCUAUCAGCUUGUUGGUGGGGUAAUGGCCUACCAAGGCGACGACGGGUAGCCGACCUGAGAGGGUGACCGGCCACACUGGGACUGAGACACGGCCCAGACUCCUACGGGAGGCAGCAGUGGGGAAUAUUGCACAAUGGGCGAAACGUGACGGGCGGUGUGUACAAGGCCCGGGAACGUAUUCACCGCAGCGUUGCUGAUCUGCGAUUACUAGCGACUCCGACUUCACGGGGUCGAGUUGCAGACCCCGAUCCGAACUGAGACCAGCUUUAAGGGAUUCGCUCCACCUCACGGUCUCGCAGCCCUCUGUACUGGCCAUUGUAGCAUGUGUGAAGCCCUGGACAUAAGGGGCAUGAUGACUUGACGUCGUCCCCACCUUCCUCCGAGUUGACCCCGGCAGUCUCUUACGAGUCCCCACCAUAACGUGCUGG